GCGGGCGUGGCGGAAUCGGUAGACGCGGCAGACUCAAAAUCUGUUUUCUUCGGAAGUGGGAGUUCGAGUCUCCCCGCCCGCACCA
rnacentral:tRNA from 1 species